GAAACGAUCGUUAAUACCGCAUAACAUAAUUGAACCGCAUGAUUUGAUUAUCAAAGAUCUAUCGCUGAAAGAUGAGCUCGCGUCUGAUUAGCUAGUUGGUAAGGUAACGGCUUACCAAGGCGACGAUCAGUAGCCGGACUGAGAGGUUGAUCGGCCACAUUGGGACUGAGACACGGCCCAGACUCCUACGGGAGGCAGCAGUGGGGAAUAUUGCACAAUGGAGGAAACUCUGAUGCAGCGAUGCCGCGUGAGGGAAGAAGGUUUUAGGAUUGUAAACCUCUGUCUUCAGGGACGAAAAAUGACGGUACCUGAGGAGGAAGCUCCGGCUAACUACGUGCCAGCAGCCGCGGUAAUACGUAGGGAGCGAGCGUUGUCCGGAAUUACUGGGUGUAAAGGGAGCGUAGGCGGGAUCGCAAGUCAGAUGUGAAAACUAUGGGCUUAACCCAUAAACUGCAUUUGAAACUGUGGUUCUUGAGUGAAGUAGAGGUAAGCGGAAUUCCUAGUGUAGCGGUGAAAUGCGUAGAUAUUAGGAGGAACAUCAGUGGCGAAGGCGGCUUACUGGGCUUUAACUGACGCUGAGGCUCGAAAGCGUGGGGAGCAAACAGGAUUAGAUACCCUGGUAGUCCACGCCGUAAACGAUGAUUACUAGGUGUGGGGGGACUGACCCCUUCCGUG
rnacentral:rRNA from 1 species